rnacentral:rRNA from 1 species
AUUGAACGCUGGCGGAAUGCUUUACACAUGCAAGUCGAACGGCAGCACGGUGGCAACCCUGGUGGCGGGUGGCGAACGGGUGAGUAAUACAUCGGAACGUGCCCGGUCGUGGGGGCUAACGUAGCGAAAGUUACGCUAAUACCGCAUACGAUCUGAGGAUGAAAGCGGGGGACCUUCGGGCCUCGCGCGCUCGCAGCGGCCGAUGUCAGAUUAGGUAGUUGGUGGGGUAAAGGCCUACCAAGCCGACGAUCUGUAGCUGGUCUGAGAGGACGACCAGCCACGCUGGGACUGAGACACGGCCCAGACUCCUACGGGAGGCAGCAGUGGGGAAUUUUGGACAAUGGGCGCAAGCCUGAUCCAGCCAUUCCGCGUGGAUGACGAAGGCCUUCGGGUUGUAAACUGCUUUUGUAUGGAACGAAAAGGAUCUGGCUAAUACCUGGGGCUCAUGACGGUACCGUAAGAAUAAGCACCGGCUAACUACGUG